CUGUAGAUCUCCGAUGAUCCUUUUGAAGAUGAUGGCAUUCCAAACAGUUGCCCGACCUAUCAAGAGGUAAUCAUCUACAAAUAGAAGAUGUGAAAUCGGCCUAACCAUCAGGACUGGCUCGUAUGGAUCUAGAGCCCGCUCAAUGGUAGCUUGCCUUAGGGCCCUCGAUAGGGUAUCAGCAUAGAGAAUAAACAAAUAAGAAG
rnacentral:lncRNA from 1 species